UCCCUGGUGGUCCAGUGGCCAAGACUCUGUACUCCCAGUGUAGGGGCCUGGGUUCAAUUCCUGGUCAGAGAA
rnacentral:tRNA from 1 species